UUUGGUUGUUGUUUUUUUUUCUUUCCUUCCCCUUUUUUCCUUUCUGUCCCGACCAUAAAUUUUUCAUGGAAUUUACAGAGCACCAGCAAAUCUCCAGGGAAGCCGGUGGCACCGGGGACACUCCUGGAACUUUGCUGGGACUUGGAGAAUCCAAGGAUGUGCCCGCAGGGGACAGCAGCAUUCCCUGGGAAUGCCCAUGGAGCUGGGAAUGCAGAAUCCCCCUGGGAAUCCUCCUAGAACUGGGAAUGCAGUAUUCCCUGGGAAUUCCCAUGGAGCUGGAAAUGCAGAAUCCACCUGGGAAUCCUCCUGGAGCUGGGAAUGCAGCAUCCUCUGGGAAUGCCCAUGGAGCUGGUAAUGCAGAAUCCACCUGGGAAUCCUCCUGGAGCUGGGAAUGCAGCAUUCCUGGGAAUUCUCCUGAAGCUGGUAAUGCAGCAUUCCCUGGGAAUCCUCCUGGAGCUGGGAAUGCAGCAUCCCCUGGGAAUGCCCAUGGAGCUGGAAAUGCAGAAUCCCCCUUCCUCUCCAUGGGGACAUCCAGGAGGACCCAGCGUCCCACAGCCAGCCCAGCUUUGGGGACACACGGGGACAGAGCAGCUCCAGGCUGGGACGAGCCAGGCCCUGCCUGUCCCCAUCCCAAACAUCCCCAAAUCCCCAUUUGCCAGAUCCUCCUGGCCCGGGGAAAAGAANCCCACCAAAACCCCCUUUUCCCUGGAUUCCUGUCCCUGGCAGUGCCACUCCUGUCCCCAGGGCUGUCCCCUGACAUUCCAGGCUCUUGUCCCGUCUCCCACCCUGCUCAGGGGGUUGGAUUUGCCCUAAAUCCUCUCCUCUGUCCCCAACCCUCCCUCAUCAUCCUGAAAGCAGAGCAUCCCUGGUUUCUGCUGGCAUUGCCCAUCCAGGAUUUGGGAAUGCUGGGAGGAUCGGGAUGGGUUUGGGGGCACCUCUUGGGGAGCCCCAAGUGCAGCCCCGCUCUCACCCCUGGGGGAUUUAAUAUUGGGGUUUUUUUGGCUUUUCUGGGCAACAAUAAAAACUUUCAUUGGAGCAGAACCUCACUUGGCCAAGAGGAGCCUCGUUAAUUCCAGGGGAUUGUUUCAUCUCGG
rnacentral:lncRNA from 1 species